GUUGAACGCUGGCGGAAUGCUUUACACAUGCAAGUCGAACGGCAGCACGGACUUCGGUCUGGUGGCGAGUGGCAAACGGGUGAGUAAUGUAUCGGAACGUGCCCAGUCGUGGGGGAUAACGUAGUGAAAAUUACGCUAAUACCGCAUACGAUCUAUGGAUGAAAGCGGGGGAUCGCAAGACCUCGCGCGAUUGGAGCGGCCGAUAUCAGAUUAGGUAGUUGGUGGGGUAAAGGCCCACCAAGCCAACGAUCUGUAGCUGGUCUGAGAGGACGACCAGCCACACUGGAACUGAGACACGGUCCUGACUCCUACGGGAGGCAGCAGUGGGGAAUUUUGGACAAUGGGCGAAAGCCUGAUCCAGCCAUUCCGCGUGCAGGAUGAAGGCCCUCGGGUUGUAAACUGCUUUUGUACAGAACGAAAAGGUUUCUACUAAUACUAGGAGCUCAUGACGGUACUGUAAGGAUAAGCACCGGCUAACUACGUGCCAGCCGCCGCCGUAA
rnacentral:rRNA from 1 species